GACGGAGGGGGCUAGCGUUGUUCGGAAUGACUGGGCGUAAAGGGCGUGUAGGCUGUUGAUCAAGUCAAGCGUGAAAGCCUCGGGCUUAACCCGAGAAUGGCGUUUGAUACUGGUUGACUUGAGGACGAGAGAGGAAAGUGGAAUUCCGAGUGUAGAGGUGAAAUUCAUAGAUAUUCGGAGGAACAUCAGAGGCGAAGGCGACUUUCUGGCUCGUAUCUGACGCUGAGGCGCGAAAGCGUGGGGAGCAAACAGG
rnacentral:rRNA from 1 species